rnacentral:rRNA from 1 species
GAUCAUGGCUCAGGAUGAACGCUAGCUACAGGCUUAACACAUGCAAGUCGAGGGGCAGCAUUGAGAUAGCUUGCUAUUCAGAUGGCGACCGGCGCACGGGUGAGUAACGCGUAUCCAACCUUCCCCUUAGUAGGGGAUAGCCCGGUGAAAAUCGGAUUAAUACCCUAUGUUGUUCGAAGCAGACAUCUAAAUUGAACCAAAGGUUUACCGCUAAGGGAUGGGGAUGCGUCUGAUUAGGUAGUAGGCGGGGUAACGGCCCACCUAGCCGACGAUCAGUAGGGGUUCUGAGAGGAAGGUCCCCCACAUUGGAACUGAGACACGGUCCAAACUCCUACGGGAGGCAGCAGUGAGGAAUAUUGGUCAAUGGGCGCGAGCCUGAACCAGCCAAGUAGCGUGCCAGGACGACGGCCCUAUGGGUUGUAAACUGCUUUUAUACAGGGAUAAAGUCACCUACGUGUAGGUGUUUGUAGGUACUGUAUGAAUAAGGACCGGCUAAUUCCGUGCCAGCAGCAGC